GUGGGCGUGCCGGAGUGGUUAUUGGGCAUGAUUAGAAAUCAUGUGGGCUUUGCCUGUGUAGGUUUGAAUCCAGCUGCUCACG
rnacentral:tRNA from 1 species